rnacentral:rRNA from 1 species
GACGAACGCUGGCGGCGUGCCUAAUACAUGCAAGUUGAGCGAUGAAGCUUGGUGCUUGCACCAAUUUGAAGAGCAGCGAACGGGUGAGUAACGCGUGGGGAAUCUGCCUUUGAGCGGGGGACAACAUUUGGAAACGAAUGCUAAUACCGCAUAACAACUUUAAACAUAAGUUUUAAGUUUGAAAGAUGCAAUUGCAUCACUCAAAGAUGAUCCCGCGUUGUAUUAGCUAGUUGGUGAGGUAAAGGCUCACCAAGGCGAUGAUACAUAGCCGACCUGAGAGGGUGAUUCGCCAAAUUGGGACUGGGACACGGCCCAAACUCCUACGGGAGGCAGCAGGAGGGAAACUUCGGCAAUGGACGAAAGUCUGACCGAGCAACGCCGCGGGAGGGAAGAAGGUUUUCGGAUCGGAAAACUCGGUUGGUAGAGAAGAAAGUUGGUGAGAGUGGAAAGCUCAUCAAGUGACGGUAACUACACAGAAAGGGACGGCUAACUACGUG